UCCCCGUCCUUCUGCUGGAAGGAAAUGAAUGUGCAACAGCUUAAUUUAUCCUUCGCUGGGAAGCCAUGGAGGCUGGGAGGCAGCUCCUGUGAGGUCCAAUCAACCCUGUAGAGGAUUCCUGCUUAUCCUAACCUGCCCACAACCCACAGUCUCUGGGCAGGCGUGGCAGGAGCCGAGCUCUACACCCAGACUGGGAGAACCCCUGCCUUUGAUUGCUCAGACUCAGCCUCCUGUAAAAAGACCUGGACGACCUUCUCACCCAGACAGCUUUCCAGGGGUUGGGGGCGGGGCAGGGAAGGAAUGAAGUCUGAUGGGCAAAUAGAUGGGGAAGGCUUUAGUAAGGGUUCAAAACUUUCUUCUGGACAACAUAAGGAGAACUCAUGCUGGCAAGAGGAGAAAUCUAGACCCCCAGAAAAGACCCAGGGGCAAGAGGGGCCUGGGAAAUUUUAGAAAAUCACAAGGAUUGUCCCACUGAGCUCAGUGAGCAAGCUGGGAAUGGCAGGAGAGGAGAGACAGGGCAGGUAGGCAAGGCAGUCCUAAGGGUCUGGACUUUAUCCUGACCCAGAGUGUACCAGGAGAGACUUUUCCAAAGGGAGUGGCUCAAGAAGAUUAGACCAAUAGGUUUUAGAACAACAGAUAUGAUGCAGGAGAAAGGUGGAAGGACAGGGACUAAAUGAGAUGAAGCUAUGCUAGGUGUUAACUGAAGCCAGGAAUGGAAAUACUUUCCCAAACGGCUUUUUCAGGAUUCCCAAAUCCCUCAUUUCAAUUCCUCAACAAGAUUUCCUGACAUGCAGGCUUCCAAGAUUCGCUGUGCCCUGGGACAGACAUGUCAUCUAGCAAGAAGAAAGGACUUUGAAGUUCAACAGGGUUGGAUUUGAAUCUUGGUUCUUCACCUUAUUUCUUGCAUGUGACUUUGAGUCAGUAUCUGUUACCUAAUCUGUAAAAUGGGGGUGAAGUUGACUUUUUCUAAAGAUGGUUGUGGAGAUCAGUGAUCUUUUCCAUACAGUCUAAGGCACAUAAUAAGUGCUCAAUAAACAGU
rnacentral:lncRNA from 10 species